GACGAACGCUGGCGGCGUGCUUAACACAUGCAAGUCGAACGGAAAGGCCCUGCUUUUGUGGGGUGCUCGAGUGGCGAACGGGUGAGUAACACGUGUGUAACCUGCCCUUGACUUUGGGAUAACUUCAGGAAACUGGGGCUAAUACCGGAUAGGAGCUCCUGCUGCAUGGUGGGGGUUGGAAAGUUUCGGCGGUUGGGGAUGGACUCGCGGCUUAUCAGCUUGUUGGUGGGGUAGUGGCUUACCAAGGCUUUGACGGGUAGCCGGCCUGAGAGGGUGACCGGCCACAUUGGGACUGCGAUACGGCCCAGACUCCUACGGGAGGCAGCAGUGGGGAAUAUUGCACAAUGGGCGGAAGCCUGAUGCAGCAACGCCGCGUGCGGGAUGACGGCCUUCGGGUUGUAAACUGCUUUCGCCUGUGACGAAGCGUGAGUGACGGUAAUGGGUAAAGAAGCACCGGCUAACUACGUG
rnacentral:rRNA from 1 species